rnacentral:tRNA from 1 species
GGUCUGGUGGUCUAGUGGUAUGAUUCUCGCUUAGGGUAUACCCUACAGCAUAUAUGCGAGAGGUCCCGGGUUCAAUCCCCGGCCAGACCC